rnacentral:rRNA from 1 species
CACGUAGGGGCCAAGCGUUGUCCGGAUUUAUUGGGCGUAAAGAGCUCGUAGGCGGCUCGGUAAGUCGGGUGUGAAACCUCCAGGCUCAACCUGGAGACGCCACCUGAUACUGCUGUGGCUAGAGUCCGGUAGGGGAGCGUGGAAUUCCUGGUGUAGCGGUGAAAUGCGCAGAUAUCAGGAGGAACACCAGCGGCGAAGGCGGCGCUCUGGGCCGGAACUGACGCUGAGGAGCGAAAGCAUGGGGAGCGAACAGG